rnacentral:lncRNA from 10 species
GCUUGCUCGAGCCUCUCCUGCUCUGUGGAGUGCAAUUUCGCUUCAGUGAAUCUGCACUUUUCGUUGUUUUUUUUUUUUGAUGCUUCGUUCUUUUAUUGCUUUGUUUGUACGUUUUGUUUAAUUCUUUGUACAAAGAGCCUAGACAGCAUACAGCCAAGAGUUUCUAUCUGGUAACAUAUUUUGGAGAGCCAGCCAGGAGCAAUUCCAUGUUUGUGUGAUACUUGUGCAAGGGUUUCAGCCAGUUUGGGAACAAAAUCCAAAAUUGGGCCCAAAUGCCCAACCAUUGUGACUGGGUCAGGUCAGCUACACCCUUUACAAGCAAGCACAAGGCUGCUGGAUCCACGGAUACCCACCUAACUACCUAGGGACAGAGAGCCAGGACCCCCAGUAGGCAGGGACAGUCAAAAAAAAAAAAGAUUUAUGGGGAUCAUGUCUCUCAGUGGGAAAUGAGGCAGGAGGAUAGGGAAUUAGGGUCGCCACGGGUUAAGGCAUAAGUGAAAGAGGAGCAGGUGCAGCCAGUUCCAGGCAAGACGAGGCAGCACACGGGCCACAUCCGCUCUUGGGAUGACGAGACGGAAGUCUCCACUUCAGACUCUUGACUGAUUGAUCACAGCGCAGGCCAAUCCUUCAUGAGACGUAACCUGCUGGAGGUCUCCAAAGGGCACCUAGGGGUGUUACCAAAUUCCUUCAGCUUCAUAAGAACCCUAAAGAACACUGCAGUUGGGCUCGUGAGCCGCUUGCUCGAGCCGCUCCCAGCCGCGGAGUGCACUUGCGCGUCAAUGAAUCUGCGCUUUCGUUGCUUCUUUUGAUGCUUUGUUCUUUCGUUGUUUUGUUUGUGCGUUUUGUUCAGUUCUUUGUUCAACACGCCAAGAACCGGGACAACUCACAGUCAAGACCUCCCCUCCAAUAACAGAAUGUCAGACUCCAGAGCAGGAAGUGUGUGGGAUGGCCUGGGAGUGCUCAGGGCCGUUGCAGCUCAGCACCACGUGUCUGCGUGAGGUGCGCAGCUGGUCUGUGCACGUGCUGUGGGAGUAUGAGGUGGGACAGCUGCUCUGGAAAAAGUCUGGCCAUUUCUUUCUUUCUCUCUCUUCCCUCCCUCCAUCCCUCCCCCCCUCUCUCUGUCUCUCUUUUCUUUUCUUUUCUUUUCCCUUCUUCCUUCCUUUCUUUCCUUCCUUCCUUCUUUCUUUCUUAGAUGGAGUUUCACUCUCAUCACCCAGGCUGGAGUGCAGUGGCACAAUCUCGGCUCAAGUGAUUCUCCUGCCCCAGCCGCCUGAGUAGUUGGGAUUACAGGUGUGUCACCACGCCUGGCUAAUUUUUGUAUUUUUAGUAGAGACGAGGUUUUACCAUGUUGGCCAGGCUGGUCUCGAACUCCUGACCUCAGGUGAUCUGCCCACCUCGGCCUCCCAAAGUGCUGGGAUUACGGGCGUGAGCCACCGCGCCUGGCCUGGCAAUUUCUUAGAGAACGAUUUACUUGACCUUUGGACACAGCAACUCUGGACACGGCAACUCUGUACCCCAAUAUUUACCCAAGAGAAUGCGGGACUCAGGAAUGUACCCGAGCCAAACACGGCACACAGCCCAGGGUCGGCCAACAAGGAAGUGGAUAAGCAAACGUUGUAACGCUCAUGCGUGGAACGCUCACGCGUGGGAUGCCACUCAGCCAUGCAAGGGAACAAACUGCCAGGACCCUGGCCGCACGCAUCACAAGGAGCCUGCAGGAAAGGAUAUGGACCACAUGGUUUGACUUAUGUGACGUUCUAGAGCAGGCCAAAGUAACCUAUGGUUUUAAAAGUUUCAGAACAGUUGUUGUCUUUGCAGAAGGGAGGAGAUGGGGUUUCACUGGAGCUGGGCAGGGUAGGAUGUGGGUUGGGGGAUUAGUAAUGUCUAUAUUUUGUUAGGGGUUUGGGUUACACGGGUGUAUGCAUUUGUCAGAACUAUGGAAUGGCACCCUCAAGGUGCAUGCAUUUCACUGAAUGUGGUUUCACCUCUAAACGUAAUUGAUGAUAUGUUAGGUAGUUAUGAAGUGUAAGCUAGAGUCUCUGUGGGAAGCGUGCAGGUGGCUACAGCUUACUUUGAAGUCCAUCAAGAAUAGGAGAUGGGUUGGGGUGAAUAUAUGAUAAAGCAAAUGUAACAACAUAUGAAUUGUAGGAUCCAGGUGCCAGGUAUACGGGUGUUCAUUGUAAACUUCUUUCCAUUUGUCCUGUGUUCUUGAAAUUGUUCAUAAUGUGUUGGGAGAAGCCACAGGGUCAUGUCAGAGGACACAGGAGUCAGCCUGAAGAGGACCCAGUGCCAGAGGUGAUGGCUGGGGCCCCUGGGGAUGCU